rnacentral:rRNA from 1 species
UAUCCACAGAAAAAGCACUGGCUAACUCUGUGCCAGCAGCCGCGGUAAUACAGAGAGUGCGAGCGUUAAUCGGAAUUACUGGGCGUAAAGCGCACGUAGGUGGGUGCUUAAGUCAGAUGUGAAAUCCCCGGGCUUAACCUGGGAAUUGCAUUUGAUACUGGGCGUCUAGAAUAUAGUAGAGGGAAGUGGAAUUUCCGGUGUAACGGUGAAAUGCGUAGAUAUCGGAAGGAACAUCAGUGGCGAAAGCGGCUUCCUGGACUAAUAUUGACACUUAGGUGCGAAAGCGUGGGGAGCAAACAGGAUUAGAUACCCUGGUAGUCCACGCUGUCAACGAUGAGAACUAGAUGUUGGGGAGUUUACUCCUUAGUAUCGAAGCUAACGCGUUAAGUUCUCCGCCUGGGGAGUACGGCCGCAAGGUAAACUCAAGGAUUGACGGGGGCCCGCACAAGCGGUGGAGCAUGCGGUUUAAUUCGAUGCAACGCGAAGACUUACUGCUCUUGACAUACUUGGAUCUCUUGAACAGAGAGUGCUUCGGACGAGAUACAGUGCUGCAUGCUGUCGUCAGCUCGUGUCGUGAGAUGUGGUAGUCCGUACGAGCGCACCUC